rnacentral:rRNA from 1 species
UUCUCUUCGGAGAUGAUUUUUGGUAGUUAGUGGCGGACGGGUGAGUUAACGCGGUGAGUAACCUGCCCUUGAAGAGGGGGAUAACGUUCUGAAAAGAACGCUAAUACCGCAUAACAUUUAUCUUAUCGCAAUGGUAGGAUAAUCAAAAACGUCCGGUGCUCAAGGAUGGACUCGCGUCCGAUUAGAUAGUUGGUGAGGUAACGGCUCACCAAGUCGACGAUCGGUAGCCGGACUGAGAGGUUGAACGGCCACAUUGGGACUGAGACACGGCCCAGACUCCUACGGGAGGCAGCAGUGGGGGAUAUUGCGCAAUGGGGGGAAAAACCCCCUGACGCAGCAACGCCGCGUGGAUGAUGACGGUUUUCGGAUUGUAAAGUCCUUUUCUUAGGGACGAAGAUUGACGGUACCUAAGGAAUAAGCUCCGGCUAACUACGUGCCAGCCGCAGC